UCAUUGUUUUCCCAUGAUUUCUUGAGAUCAUCUUUCUUCCUAGUUCUUCAAUAACCCAACCCACUAAUCAAAAACCUCUCCACAGUGAAAAUCAAAAGGCAUCUCCAUGCACACAGAUAUGAAGCUCAAAUUGCUUUCAUGGUUCCUCUUCUUGCUCCUAUUCUCUCAAACGGUUUCAAGGUCUGCCUCUGACACCACUUUCUCUCGUACAUAUGCAGCUUCUGAGCUUUCAGAAAAUAUUAGAGGAAAACAACCUGUGGGUUCAAAUGGAACGAUUGGGAUGGAUAUGGAAAGAAGGGGAAGAGGAUCAGAGAUAGUAAAAAAUGUGCAAAGGAAGGGCCAGAAGGGGAGCGGAGGUGGCUCUGAUCUAAACCGAAGGCCUCCUCGGACUUCUCAUGGUGGUGCAUCUACCUUCCCGGCAAGCCCAUCUUUAGUAAUCGAUGUGGUCCUGCAAGUCAGCAUUGGAUUACUGAUAGUUUUCCAUUUCUUCUUCUGAUUAUGUUGCAAGAUCUCCCUUUACAGGACACAACAUUGAUCUUCAUUUUUCAUGCAUCGCUUCCUCCUUUGGAUCCAUUUGUCAAAUUCAACGUGUAUUGAAAGAGCUUGGAAACCAAAGUUUAGCCGGUACUGGAGGUGCAUAUAUGCCAAGAUUUUUUUUUUCUCCUAGCAUGGGAUCCUGACAUGUGAUAUUUCUUUGUUGCUGUACUUUGACUCUUGUAGAACUUUGUUCGCAUUAAUAUAAUUUUAUUUCUAUAAUAAAAAAAUAAAAAAAAAUAAAAAAAAUAUAUUAUACUAUGGGUAAAACUAGCGGGUUCCAGUACGCAGGAGGAUUUUUGUUUUUUUUGUCAUCAAAUAAU